rnacentral:lncRNA from 1 species
GGUUGUUUAAGAGCCAGCCAGUCCCCUUCACAUGAACUUUAUUUUCUGGGCACCUUUUACAUGAAGCCAGGCCCUGGUACACACACACAGUCUCCACCUCCUCACCCUAGUGCCAGACGCUGGUACAGGAGAGGAGCUGGGAGACCAAGCCCCUGCCCCACAUUGUCUGAGGACCAGUACACAAGAAGGUGACCCGGUGUCCACUGCUGGCUGCGCUCCAGGGGCCUUCAGGGCUCCAUCACCAGGGCUGUGUGCCAGAGCCAAGCCACUGCCACCUGGCCAGCCUGCUCCACCCUCCCCUGCCCAGAGUUCCCCUCCAGUUGGCUCUGCUCCAAAGGUGAUCCAGGCUGGGCAGAGAAGCCAGCCAGCAGGACACCCAUGAGGCCUGCCUGCCCAUCUGGCCUCUCUGGGUGUGAUGGUGCUUAGGCAAGGACUAAAGUGGGCAUCAGACCAGGCUAAACAUACCGGCUAGAGGUGUGAAUUCUUUGGCCCACAGAUUGUCUGUCUGUCUGUCUGUCUGUAUGCACGCAUGUAUGUCUAUCUGUUGGUCUGUGUGUGUGUGUGCAUGAGUGUAUGUGCAUAAGUGUUCCUGUCAGCCUGUGGUGCCUGUGUGCACGCACACUCUUGCUUGUUAGUCCCUUUGAAGUCAUGUUUAAAAAUCAAGCCAGGAGUUCGGUCCCCAGCUCUGAAAAAAAGAAAAAAAAAAUC